rnacentral:rRNA from 1 species
CCUACGUGUGGCAGCAGUGGGGAAUAUUGCACAAUGGGCGAAACCCUGAUGCAGCGACGCCGCGUGAGUGAAGAAGUAAUUCGUUAUGUAAAGCUCUAUCAGCAGGGAAGAAAAUGACGGUACCUGAGUAAUAAGCCCCGGGUAACUACGGGCCAGCAGCCGCGGUCAUACGUAGGGGGCAGGCGUUAUCCGGUUUUACUGGGUGUAAAGGGAGCGUAGACGGCAGUGCAAGUCUGGAGUGAAAGGCGGGGGCCCAAACCCCGGACUGCUCUGGAAACUGGACGGCUGGAGUGCGGGAGAGGUAAGUGGAAUUCCUGGUGUAGCGGUGAAAUGCGUAGAUAGUAGGAGGAACACCGAGGGCGAAGGCGGCUUACUGGCCUGUAACGGACGUUGAGGCUCGAAAGCGUGGGGAGCAAACAGGAUUAGAUACCCCUGUAGUC